rnacentral:tRNA from 1 species
CACUAAGAAGCUGAAUAGGAGUUAGCAUUAGCCUUUUAAGCUGAAGAAUGGUGAAUACCGCCCACCCUUAGUGA